rnacentral:rRNA from 1 species
GAUGAACGCUAGCGGCAGGCCUAACACAUGCAAGUCGAGGGGUAGCAGGAUUAAGCUUGCUUAAUUGCUGACGACCGGCGCACGGGUGCGUAACGCGUAUGCAACCUACCUUAUACUGGGGUAUAGCCCGGAGAAAUUCGGAUUAAUCCCCCAUAGUACUAAUGAAUCGCAUGGUUUAUUAGUUAAAGCAUUGCGGUAUAAGAUGGGCAUGCGUCCUAUUAGCUAGAUGGUGAGGUAACGGCUCACCAUGGCUACGAUAGGUAGGGGGCCUGGGAGGGUGGUCCCCCACACUGGUACUGAGACACGGACCAGAAUCCUACGGGAGGCAGCAGUGAGGAAUAUUGGUCAAUGGGCGCAAGCCUGAACCAGCCAUGCCGCGUGCAGGAAGAAUGCCCUAUGGGUUGUAAACUGCUUUUAUUUGGGAAUAAACCUCUUUACGUGUAGAGAGCUGAAGGUACCAAAUGAAUAAGCACCGGCUAACUCCGUGCCAGCAGCCGCGGUAA